ensembl:snRNA U6 U6 spliceosomal RNA
GUGUUUGCUUCAGCAGCACACGCACUAAAAUUAGAACAAUACAGAGAAGACUAACACAGUCCCUUUGCUAGGAUUACACACAAAUGCGUGAAGUGUUUCAUAUUUUU